UCCGUUGUGAGUGGGAUCUGAAGGAAGUCAGUGGCAAAAUGCUAAACUGGGGCCACGGACAACAUCAGGUAUAUUUGGUUAGAUGGGUUUUCAAGACUAAACGAAGUCUUGUCACCACUUGGAAACAAGAGUGUAAAUGAAACGGGGCGAAUACAAU
rfam:Bacteroidales bacterium Barb7 Barb7_contig_644, whole genome shotgun sequence.